UCAGAAACAGGCCCCUGUGAGGCAAUGGUUGUGAUGGAAACCAGGUCUGUGGGGUCACUCACAACUCUGACAAGAGAGACUCUCUCUUUCUGGAUUCCUUCUGCUUUCAGCGGUUACUCCAGCUCUUCCGUCUCUGGAAUGUGACUACACUUGAGCCAGACCUGAUUGUAGGGAGAAAGACCAGGCAGGGGGAAGCCAGCUCCCUAUGUGCACCUUCCUGAUCGUCAUGCCAUGCCAUGGCUCUUAUAAAAGACUGGGGCCCCUCCCGCACCCCCUGCCCAGUGUAUAUUAAACUAUCCUACUACUUCUCUCCUUUUCUUUCUACACUUCAUCACUCCUUGCCUUCAGGACAUCUAGUCUAGCCAGCUUGGGGUCCCUGCUCUUCUGACUAGCCAGUGUGGAGCACCGUUCAAUAGGAGAAUUGUAACCACCCUCGAACUUGCAUUACGGGGACAGGGUAGAAGAAACAGAUCUGGUGUUUCAUGCAGAAAACCAGAUUUCUAGCACUGGAGAACACGUGGAAGACUCCAACUGGGCAAGGAAGAGAGCUGCAGAUCCUAAACCCAGACUCCUGAGCCAUCUGUAUCCAGAUCCCAACUGCGAUCACCAUGGUGCACAGAGCCUCUGAGACAAACGAAGCAGCAUUCGGGGAGACUAGAGCAUCAGGGACGGAAAAUUCAUUCCCGAUCCAAUGAGUCUUAUUUCAUUGCUUCAGAAUGGGUAUAACCCAGAUAAAGUGGAGGUGUAUCUGGUUGGAAGGGGGAAAAGAAGAAAUCAGUGGACAUUAUGGCUGCUUUGC